rnacentral:tRNA from 1 species
CAAAGUGUAGCUUAAAAAAAGCAUCUGGUUUACACCCAGAAGAUUUCACUUAACGUGACCACCUUGA